AGAUCCAUUGUUACGGUCCUCUUUGCUAUCUGUAUAAUGGCAAAUAUAGUAGCUGUGGUUUGAGAAAGUAGGCCAGAAGGCCGAAUAACUCGCCUUGUGAACUAUUUGAUCAUUGUAUGGAUAGUAGAGGGGCUCCCGAGUCCAGUGGUAUCU
rnacentral:pre_miRNA from 1 species